rnacentral:rRNA from 1 species
CCUACGGGAGGCAGCAGUGGGGAAUCUUGCGCAAUGGGCGAAAGCCUGACGCAGCCAUGCCGCGUGAAUGAUGAAGGUCUUAGGAUUGUAAAAUUCUUUCACCGGGGACGAUAAUGACGGUACCCGGAGAAGAAGCCCCGGCUAACUUCGUGCCAGCAGCCGCGGUAAUACGAAGGGGGCUAGCGUUGCUCGGAAUUACUGGGCGUAAAGGGAGCGUAGGUGGACUGUUUAGUCAGAGGUGAAAGCCCAGGGCUCAACCUUGGAAUUGCCUUUGAUACUGGCAGUCUUGAGUACGGAAGAGGUAUGUGGAACUCCGAGUGUAGAGGUGAAAUUCGUAGAUAUUCGGAAGAACACCAGUGGCGAAGGCGACAUACUGGUCCGUUACUGACACUGAGGCUCGAAAGCGUGGGGAGCAAACAGGAUUAGAUACCCUGGUAGUCCACGCCGUAAACGAUGAGUGCUAGUUGUCGGCAUGCAUGCAUGUCGGUGACGCGAGCUACGACAUAAGUACACUCCGCCGUCGGGAGGUACGGUCGCGAGAGUAAACGUACUAAUUAGAGUUAGUUACGGCGUGAGACGUUGCCGACGGACGACGACGAGGGAGGAGG